rnacentral:rRNA from 1 species
CCCUUAGAGUUUGAUCCUGGCUCAGGAUGAACAUUGGCGGCAUGCUUAACACAUGCAAGUCGCACGCGACCUUCGGGUCGAGUGGCGAACGGGUGCGUAACACGUAGGUGACCUGCCCUCGAGUGGGGAAUAACCGCGAGAAAUCGUGGCUAAUACCGCAUAGCCUUGGGAGAGUAAAUCUUUCAAGUAAAGCAGCAAUGCGCUUGAGGAGGGGCCUGCGGCCUAUCAGCUAGUUGGUGGGGUAACAGCCUACCAAGGCGACGACGGGUAGCUGACCUGAGAGGGUGGUCAGCCACAGGGGAACUGAGACACGGUCCCCACUCCUACGGGAGGCAGCAGUGAGGAAUAUUGGGCAAUGGGCGCAAGCCUGACCCAGCAAUGCCGCGUGCGGGAUGACGGCCUUCGGGUUGUAAACCGCUUUUGUGGGGGAGUAGCAAGGAGAGUACCCCACGAAUAAGUCACGGCUAACUACGUGCCAGCAGCCGCGGUAAUACGUAGGUGACAAAUGUUAUCCGGAAUUACUGGGCGUAAAGGGUCUGUAGGCGGCUGUUUAGGUCUGAUGUGACAUCUCGCGGCUUAACUGCGAGCGCGCGUUGGAAACCGGACAGCUAGAAUCACGUCGAGGUCGGCGGAAUUCCCGGUGUAGUGGUGGAAUGCGUAGAGAUCGGGAGGAACCUCGAAAGCGAAGGCAGUCGGCUAGACGAUGAUUGACGCUGAGGGACGAUAGCGUGGGUAGCAAACAGAUUAGAUACCCUGGUAGUCCACGCCGUAAACGAUGUAUGCUCGUGUGUGCGGGUAAACCGUGCGCGCUCAGCCACGCGAUAGCAUACCGCCUGGGGAGUACGCCGCAGCUAAACUCAAAGGAUUGACGGGACCCGCACA